ACGAUGAAGGCAGGAGCUUGCUUUUGCUGGAUUAGUGGCGAACGGGUGAGUAACACGUGAGUAACCUGCCCUUGACUCUGGGAUAAGCGUUGGAAACGACGUCUAAUACCGGAUACGAGCUAGGACCGCAUGGUCACUAGCUGGAAAGAAUUUUGGUCAAGGAUGGACUCGCGGCCUAUCAGCUAGUUGGUGAGGUAACGGCCCACCAAGGCGACGACGGGUAGCCGGCCUGAGAGGGUGACCGGCCACACUGGGACUGAGACACGGCCCAGACUCCUACGGGAGGCAGCAGUGGGGAAUAUUGCACAAUGGGCGAAAGCCUGAUGCAGCAACGCCGCGUGAGGGACGACGGCCUUCGGGUUGUAAACCUCUUUUAGCAGGGAAGAAGCGAAAGUGACGGUACCUGCAGAAAAAGCACCGGCUAACUACGUGCCAGCAGCCGCGGUAAUACGUAGGGUGCAAGCGUUGUCCGGAAUUAUUGGGCGUAAAGAGCUCGUAGGCGGUUUGUCGCGUCUGCUGUGAAAAUCCGAGGCUCAACCUCGGACCUGCAGUGGGUACGGGCAAACUAGAGUGCGGUAGGGGAGAUUGGAAUUCCUGGUGUAGCGGUGGAAUGCGCAGAUAUCAGGAGGAACACCAAUGGCGAAGGCAGAU
rnacentral:rRNA from 1 species